GUGCUCACUUCCGCAGCACAUAUACUAACAUUGGAACAAUACAGAGAAGAUUAGCAUGGCCCCUGGGUAAGAAUGAGAAUGUAUUGAGAAUUACAAAGAAAAA
ensembl:snRNA U6 U6 spliceosomal RNA